GGGGAUUUAGCUAAGUGGUAGAGCACUUGCCUAGCAAGCACAAGGCCCUGGGUUCGGUCCCCAGCUCCG
rfam:Rattus norvegicus chromosome 13, whole genome shotgun sequence.